GACGAACGCUGGCGGCGUGCUUUACACAUGCAAGUCGAACGGCAGCACAGGGGCAACCCUGGUGGCGAGUGGCGAACGGGUGAGUAAUAUAUCGGAACGUGCCCAGUCGUGGGGGAUAACGUAGCGAAAGUUACGCUAAUACCGCAUACGAUCUAUGGAUGAAAGCGGGGGAUCGCAAGACCUCGCGCGAUUGGAGCGGCCGAUAUCAGAUUAGGUAGUUGGUGGGGUAAAGGCUCACCAAGCCAACGAUCUGUAGCUGGUCUGAGAGGACGACCAGCCACACUGGGACUGAGACACGGCCCAGACUCCUACGGGAGGCAGCAGUGGGGAAUUUUGGACAAUGGGCGCAAGCCUGAUCCAGCCAUUCCGCGUGCAGGACGAAGGCCUUCGGGUCGUAAACUGCUUUUGUACGGAACGAAAAAGCCUUGGCUAAUACCCAGGGUCCAUGACGGUACCGUAAGAAUAAGCACCGGCUAACUACGUGCCAGCCGCCGCCGUAA
rnacentral:rRNA from 1 species